rnacentral:sRNA from 1 species
AUUCUGCCCAUACGGGGAAGGAUGAGAAGCUUCGACCAAGGUUCGACUCGAGCGCCAGCGAGAGAGCGUUGCCGCAGGCAACGACCCGUAGGGCGAAGCGCGCAGCGCUGAGUAAUCCUUCCCCCACAACCA